UUAUCAGUUUAAUAUCUGAUACGUCCUCUAUCUGAGGACAAUAUAUUAAAUGGAUUUUUUGGAGCAGGGAGUUGGAAUAAGAGCUUGCUCCAUCCACUCCACGCAUCGACCUGGUACUGCAGUACUUCCAGUAAUGGUGC
rnacentral:snRNA from 1 species